rnacentral:rRNA from 1 species
UACUAGAGUAGCACUCGCAUAUCAAUAAGCGGAGGAAAAGAAACUAACAAGGAUUCCCCUAGUAACGGCGAGUGAAGCGGGAAGAGCUCAAAUUUGAAAUCUUAAAGGGUUUCCCUUUACGAAUUGUAGUUUAAAGAAGUGUUUUCUGUUGAGGUUUUGGUAAAAGUUCUUUGGAAUAGGACAUCAUAGAGGGUGAGAAUCCCGUAUUUGACCUUUACUUUCAACUUUGUGAUACACUUUCAAAGAGUCGGAUUGUUUGGGAAUGCAGUCCAAAAUGGGUGGUAAAUUUCAUCUAAAGCUAAAUAUUGGCGAGAGACCGAUAGCGAACAAGUACCGUGAGGGAAAGAUGAAAAGAACUUUGAAAAGAGAGUUAAACAGUACGUGAAAUUGUCAAAAGGGAAGCGUUUGACACCAGUGUUGUUUUCUCUGAAAAUCAAUUAAAGAACUGUUUAUGCUAAGUUGUUUAGACUUUAUCAGCUAUCUGUUUAGUUUUGAGCUUUUCUUUAAUGCACUUUUCAGUUAACAAGUCAACAUCAAUUUCUUUUGCUGUAAAAAAGCUUGAGGAAGGUGGCUUGAGAUUCGUCUUAAGUGUUUAUAGCCUCUUGCCUAUGCAGUCGGAGAGAUUGAGGUCUGCAGCGUAGAUCCUUCGGGGCUAAAUGCAUUUGUGCUAAGUUAUAGCAUUUUAUAGACAACUUGUUGACUAUGAUUUGUCUUGUAGCUUACUCGCUUAUGUUAUUUUACCUACGCUUAGGAUGUUGAGUCAUCACACAUCUCU